rnacentral:lncRNA from 10 species
ACCUAAUAAGAAAAGCCUGGAGGUGAGAACUUGAUAAAUCAUCCCUGGGUCUUACGCCACUAAGCCCUAGGUUGCAAGAAGGUAUGAGAAUUAAAUGAGAUAAAAUAAUUAAAUGAAUCAUAGGAGGUAAAUGAGGAGGGGUGGUUUUAAGAAUAGAGAAAAUGCUAAGUAUUUUUCACACUGUCUCAUGUAAUCCUCUCAUCAGCUUUGUUGGAAAGCAUUAACCUAAACGUAUAAAAAUGGGCGGGGCAUGGUGGCUUACGCCUGUAAUCCCAGCACUCUGGGAGACCGAGGUGAGCGGAUCUCUUGAGCUGAGGAGUUCAAGACCAGCCUGGGCAAAAUAGGGAGACUUCCGUCUAUCCAAAAAUUUUAAAAUAAAAAUAAGUAAGAAAGAGAGAA